AAAGGGGGUCUAUUAAACAAUACAGAAUGAAGGCUGUCCUGCAGCUGGAGUAUUUUAUUACCCUUGUCUUUUGCGCACUUGUUGUUUCCUGGGCGGGUUCGCUCGCCACCAGGACCACCAAAUAAACCUUUUUUAUGCAGUUGCAAUCAGCGUCAGUACAAACAAUGUAAAUCAUUUACAACUUUCAACAACGGAUCUCUUGGUUCUGGCAUCGAUGAAGAACGCAGCGAAAUGCGAUACGUAGUGUGAAUUGCAGAAUUCAGUGAAUCAUCGAAUCUUUGAACGCACAUUGCGCCCUUUGGUAUUCCAAAGGGCAUGCCUGUUCGAGCGUCAUUUGUACCCUCAAGCUUUGCUUGGUGUUGGGCGUUUUUGUCUUUGGUCGCCCAAAGACUCGCCUUAAAGUGAUUGGCAGCCGGCCUUUCUGGUUUCGCAGCGCAGCACAUUUUUGCGCUUGCCAUCAGCAAGACGGCAAUCCAUCAAGCCUCCUUCUCACGUUUGACCUCGGAUCAGGUAGGGAUACCCGCUGAACUUAAGCAUAUCAUUAAGCGGAGGAA
rnacentral:rRNA from 1 species